GAUGAACGCUGGCGGCGUGCCUAACACAUGCAAGUCGAACGGAGUCCAGCCUUAGAGACCUUCGGGUCAAAGAGGGGAAGACUGAGUGGCGGACGGGUGAGUAACACGUGGGCAACCUGGCUCAUAGAGGGGGAUAACAGAGAGAAAUUUCUGCUAAUACCGCAUAAGCACACACUGCCGCAUGGCAGAGUGUGAAAAGAGAAUCGCUAUGAGAUGGACCCGCGUCUGAUUAGCCAGUUGGUAGGGUAAGAGCCUACCAAAGCGACGAUCAGUAGCCGAUUUGAGAGGAUGAACGGCCACAUUGGGACUGAGACACGGCCCAAACUCCUACGGGAGGCAGCAGUGGGGGAUAUUGCACAAUGGGGGGAACCCUGAUGCAGCGACGCCGCGUGAGUGAAGAAGUAUUUCGGUAUGUAAAGCUCUAUCAGCAGGGAAGAUAAUGACAGUACCUGAAGAAGAAGCCCCGGCUAACUACGUG
rnacentral:rRNA from 1 species